GGGAGUGGGAGAGGAAGAAGCAGGCUCCCAGCGGAGGAGCCCGAUGUGGGAUUCGAUCCCGGAAUGCCGGGAUCACGCCCUGAGCCAAAGGCAGAUGCUUAACGGUUGCGCCACCCAGGCAUCCCUCUCCCACUAUUUCUUGUGCAUUCCUCCCAAAGCUGUGUGCUCCCUUGAAAAGAACGACCUUCCUAGAUAGAAGAAGGCUAUUCUUUGGUCAGGGGUAUGCAAGUAGCUGUGUUCUCCUACUAGAACCUCCAAAGCAGCUCUCGAGGUCCAAAAUGCAGACUAUAGCUAACCAGAAGGGAAGAAGAUAUAAAAUUAUUU
ensembl:misc_RNA 7SK 7SK RNA